UACGAAGGGGGGCUAGCGUUGUUCGGAAUCACUGGGCGUAAAGGGCGCGUAGGCGGCUUUAUAAGUCGGGGGUGAAAGCCUGUGGCUCAACCACAGAAUUGCCUUCGAUACUGUAGAGCUUGAGACCGGAAGAGGUAAGUGGAACUGCGAGUGUAGAGGUGAAAUUCGUAGAUAUUCGCAAGAACACCGGUGGCGAAGGCGGUCUGCUGGGCAGUAGCUGGACACUGAGGCGCGACAGCGUGGGGAGCAAACGGG
rnacentral:rRNA from 1 species